UACAGAGGUCCCGAGCGUUGUUCGGAUUCACUGGGCGUAAAGGGUGCGUAGGCGGUUGGAUAAGUCUGAUGUGAAAUCUUCGAGCUCAACUCGGAAACUGCAUCGGAAACUAUCCGGCUAGAGGAUUGGAGGGGAGACUGGAAUUCUCGGUGUAGCAGUGAAAUGCGUAGAUAUCGAGAGGAACACCAGUGGCGAAGGCGAGUCUCUGGACAAUUCCUGACGCUGAGGCACGAAAGCUAGGGGAGCAAACAGG
rnacentral:rRNA from 1 species